rnacentral:tRNA from 6 species
GUCUCGGUAGCUCAGCUGGAUAGAGCAACGGCCUUCUAAGCCGUCGGUCGGGGGUUCGAAUCCCUCCCGGGAUGCCA